GAGCUCAUGAAAUUUGACGUGGGUGGUUCAGCAGCAGUUUUAGGUGUCGCCAAAGAUAUAGAUCAAAUCAAAUUCCCUGGUGUAUAGACCCCUGCUGAUGCAGUAUGACCUCUCUAUCUUCAAUAUGCCAAACUAAAGGAAAAUAUGGUCUGGCAAAGCAGGCUAUGAAGGUCUAUCACCAAGCCACUAAGGCUGUACCAAACAGUGAAAAGUUCAGUAUGCAUGAACUCUGCUUUAACCAUGCAACUGGAAAUUUUGGUGUCUAAAAAACUAGGGAGAUAUGUGAGCAAUAGAAUAUGAUCUUUCGGAUAAAGAUGUGAAGAGAAGAAUGUUUUUAAAGCAUGCAGAGCAUGAAAAAAGCUUGGGAGAAACUGACGGCGAUGGUGCGAUAUUGUCUUUGCAUCUCAUUCAGAUCCACGAUCUGAUAGGGCUUUCUGGCAGGAAUGGAAACAUUUUGAAGUGCAACAUGGAAAUAAAGAUACCUUCAGAAAAAUGCUUCGGAUUAAACCAAUUGUCACUACAAAGCUAAAGCCAGACACACUUUGCUCUGCCGGAGUAUCUGAUACAGAAGAAUCAAACCAUGGACAUUGUUGAGAUAGUUGCUGCAGAAAUAAAAAGGAAC